rnacentral:lncRNA from 1 species
CUGUGACAUUUGGCUGUUCCUUGUCUACUGCUUGGUUGGAUCACACCAAAGACAGCCUUUGGGCAAUUAUUCAUUCGCUAUUUCUUCUUUUCUCCUUCUUUUAAUUCAAUUCAAGUCAAUGCCUCUUUAUGGUCCUGUCUGAGGAUCUUCACCUUCUACUGCCCAGUGUCACUGGUGUCACCUAGUUUUACACCAUAAGAAUAAAAAGUAAGAAUAAUACCAACUGUAUUCAGUCCUGGACUUAAGUUCCUCAGUUGCUUCUGGCUGGCUUCAGACAGCAUUUAUCCAGAAAAAGCAGUAGGAAUAUUAACAGCAGCAGAGCAACAUGGUGCAAGAGAAGUCUACUGGAAGGAAACUGCUGUCAUAAGGUUGUGGAAGAUAACACCUACAGAUGGAGAGGAAUAUCCUUUGUGCUCUCUACUCUCAACUAGGAUGUGACCAGUACCCUGGCUACUCCCUUCUGACUCUGACUAGCUAUGUCCCACCAGUUAGCAUCAAACUCUGGUAAAUGAUCCGGUACUAGUGCUUUGAAAAUCCAUUUGUAGUUAAUAAAAGUAAAUUUUG